UACGUAGGGCGCAAGCGUUGUCCGGAAUUAUUGGGCGUAAAGAGCUCGUAGGCGGCUUGUCACGUCGGGUGUGAAAGCCCGGGGCUUAACCCCGGGUCUGCAUUCGAUACGGGCUGGCUAGAGUGUGGUAGGGGUAACUGGAAUUCCCGGUGUAGCGGUGAAAUGCGUAGAUAUCGGGAGGAAUACCUAUGGCGAAGGCAGGUUACUGGGCCAUCACUGACGCUGAGCUGCGAAAGCUAGGGGAGCAAACAGG
rnacentral:rRNA from 1 species